rnacentral:lncRNA from 1 species
UUUAAUUGAUAUUUCCAUGUUUAACUCCAUUGGUUUAAUACUGAAUCAAUACAUAUAUUUCUAUGCACGGGAGACAAUCCCUCAGUGACCUUCAACCACAUAAUUAACAUAUAAAUCUACAUGUCUAGUCAUAUACAUGUAAAUUGUGCCAGUACCUAUGGUGUAGAUCAAUCUACAGAAAAGAGUAAUAAUUAAUAUCACAAGCCCUAUUGAAGCAAAUCCAUCAAUGGUUCA